rnacentral:rRNA from 1 species
CCUACGGGAGGCAGCAGUGGGGAAUAUUGGACAAUGGGCGAAAGCCUGAUCCAGCCAUGCCGCGUGUGUGAAGAAGGCCUUCGGGUUGUAAAGCACUUUCAGUGGGGAAGAAAGCCUUGGGGCUAAUACCCUCGAGGAAGGACAUCACCCACAGAAGAAGCACCGGCUAACUCCGUGCCAGCAGCCGCGGUAAUACGGAGGGUGCGAGCGUUAAUCGGAAUUACUGGGCGUAAAGCGCGCGUAGGCGGUCUGAUAAGCCGGUUGUGAAAACCCCGGGCUCAACCUGGGAACGGCAUCCGGAACUGUCAGGCUAGAGUGCAGGAGAGGAAGGUAGAAUUCCCGGUGUAGCGGUGAAAUGCGUAGAGAUCGGGAGGAAUACCAGUGGCGAAGGCGGCCUUCUGGACUGACACUGACGCUGAGGUGCGAAAGCGUGGGUAGCAAACAGGAUUAGAUACCCGGUAGUC